rnacentral:lncRNA from 1 species
AUGUGCGUCCCUCUCACCCCUCCUCUCUUUUUCUUUCUCUCUGUCUCUGUCGUCUCUCUCGCUGGCUUUUUAAAAAUGAGGAACCGUUCCUUGAACGUUUUGGACGGAGCACAGAAUUGCUUCUUAAAUUCAGCGCGGCGCGGUUGCGAUAGACAGCAAAAAGGUAAACGUUUGCCCGAAACCCGCACGCCAGCUCCACCAUCCCGCCCGACGGAGCCAGUUGCCCAGCACGGGCCCAGGACGUGA